rnacentral:rRNA from 1 species
GGGAGGACAACCCGGGGAACUGAAACAUCUAAGUACCCGGAGGAGAGGAAAUCAAUCUCGAGACUCCCCGAGUAGCGGCGAGCGAAAGGGGACCGAUGGCCAAACCGUCGAGCGGGCAUACCCGGCAGGGGUUCCGCCGACGGGGUUGCAGGGCCGCGCAUCCGGGGGCUGCCGCCCCCGGGCGCAGGUCCGGCUGGGGAGCGGAACGGCAUGGGAGGGCCGGCCGCAGCGGGUGACAGCCCCGUACGCGAACCCAGACCGGACGGCGCGACGCGGUCCCUGAGUAGGGCCGGGCACGUGAAACCCGGUCCGAACCUGGGUGGACCACCAUCCAAGCCUGAGUACUACCCUGUGACCGAUAGCGCACCAGUACCGUGAGGGAAAGGUGAAAAGCACCCCGGGAGGGGAGUGAAACAGUACCUGAAACCGUGCGCCCACGAGCAGUCGGAGCACCUAUAUGGUGUGACGGCGUGCCUUUUGUAGAAUGAGCCAGCGAGUCGCUGGCGCGGGGCGAGGUUAACCGAAAGGGAGCCGGAGCGAAAGCGAGCCUUAACAGGGCGACUUGAGUCCCGCGCCGCGGACGCGAAGCCGGGUGAGCUAUCCGUGGGCAGGCUGAAGCGGGGGUAAGACCCCGUGGAGGGCCGAACGCACGUCGGUUGAAAACGGCGGCGAUGACCUGCGGAUAGGGGUGAAAGGCCAAUCAAACCCGGAGAUAUCUCGUUCUCCCCGAAAUAGCUUUAGGGCUAGCGUCGCGCGUUCACCGCCGGAGGUAGAGCACCGGAUGGACGAGGGGGCUUCGCCGCCUACCGAAUCCAACCGAACUCCGAAUGCCGGCGGCCCAGAGCGCGGCAGUCAGAGCAUGUGGGCUAAGCUGUGUGCUCGAGAGGGAAACAGCCCGGACCGCCCGCUAAGGUCCCCAAGUUCCAGCCGAGUGGCAAAGGAUGUGCGUCCGCCCAGACAACCAGGAUGUUGGCUUAGAAGCAGCCAUGCAUUCAAAGAGUGCGUAACAGCUCACUGGUCGAGUGGACAUGCGCCGACAAUACACGGGGCUAAGCUGGACACCGAAGCGGCGGGAUUUUGAUUUACAGAAUCGGUAGGGGAGCUUCCCAUGGGCGGUGAAGCCGCCNNNNNNNNNNCGCCGACAAUACACGGGGCUAAGCUGGACACCGAAGCGGCGGGAUUUUAAUUCAUUAGAAUCGGUAGGGGAGCUUCCCAUGGGCGGAGAAGCCGGAGGGCGACCGGCGGUGGAGCGCAUGGGAGUGAGAAUGCUGGCAUGAGUAGCGAGAGACGAGAGAGUAACUCGUCCGCCGUGAACCCGAGGUUUCCUGGGCAAGGCUAAUCCUCCCAGGGUCAGUCGGGGGCUAAGGCGAGGCCGGGAGGCGUAGCCGACGCGCAGCAGGCAGACAUUCCUGCACCGCGCACGCGGCGCUACGACCGACGGGGCGACGGAUGGGGGUGGCUCGGCGGGGUUCUGGACGUCCCCGUGAUGGAGCGCGGCCCGCGGACCAGGGAAAUCCGGUCCGCAUCAAGGGCGAGGCUCCGGACGAAGCGAUUGAGCGAAGCGAGUGAGCCCGAGGUCCCUAGAAAAACCCCUAGGCAGGCGCGUGCGCGCCCGUACCGCAAACCGACACAGGUGGGUGGGUAGAACAUACCGAGGCGAUCGGGUCAACCAUGGUCAAGGAACUCGGCACAAUGGCCCCGUAACUUCGGGAGAAGGGGUGCCCGCGCGUACGUGAACGGACUUGCUCCGGGAGCGGAGGCGGGCCGCAGUGGAGAGGCCCAAGCGACUGUUUACCAAAAACACAGGACUCUGCAGAAGCCGCAAGGCGACGUAUAGGGUCUGACGCCUGCCCGGUGCCGGAAGGUCACGCGGAGGAGUUAGCCGUUAAGGCGAAGCCCCGAAGCCAAGCCCCGGUAAACGGCGGCCGUAACUAUAACGGUCCUAAGGUAGCGAAAUUCCUUGUCGGGUAAGUUCCGACCUGCACGAAAGGCGCAACGACUUGGGCGCUGUCUCGACCAUGGACCCGGUGAAAUUGCACUGGUCGUGAAGAUGCGACUUACCCGCGGAAGGACGGAAAGACCCCGUGAACCUUCACUGCAGCUUGGCAUUGGCCGCUGGUCCCGCGUGUAGAGGAUAGGCAGGAGGCAUCGAUCCGGAGGCGCCAGCCCCCGGGGAGCCGCCCUUGGAAUACUGCCCUCGCGCGACCGGCGUCCUAACCCGAGGCCGUCAACCGGCUCGGGGACCGUGCCAGGCGGGCAGUUUGACUGGGGCGGUCGCCUCCUAAAGGGUAACGGAGGCGCGCGAAGGUCCGCUCGGGACGGUCGGCAACCGUCCUUUUGAAUGCAAGAGUACAAGCGGGCUUGACUGCGAGGCCCACAAGCCGAGCAGGUGCGAAAGCAGGCUCUAGUGAUCCGGCGGCCCCGAGUGGGUGGGCCGUCGCUCAACGGAUAAAAGGUACUCCGGGGAUAACAGGCUGAUCUUGCCCAAGAGUCCACAUCGACGGCAAGGUUUGGCACCUCGAUGUCGGCUCAUCGCAUCCUGGGGCUGGAGCAGGUCCCAAGGGUACGGCUGUUCGCCGUUUAAAGCGGUACGCGAGCUGGGUUCAGAACGUCGUGAGACAGUUCGGUCCCUAUCCUCCGUGGGCGCAGGAGAAUCGAUGGAGGCUGCCCCCAGUACGAGAGGACCGGGGUGGACGCACCUCCGGUGAACCGGUUGUCGACCAACGGCACGGCCGGGUAGCCGCGUGCGGCGCGGAUAACCGCUGAAGGCAUCUAAGCGGGAAGCCGUUCCAGGGAUUAGUUCUCCUUCCGGUAAGGGCCCAGGUAGACUACCUGGUCGAUAGACGGCAGGUGCAAGGCUGGCGACAGCCUCAGCCGAGCCGCACUAAUCGCCCGAGCUCUUCC